CCUGAUGCAGCCAUGCCGCGUGUGUGAAGAAGGCCUUCGGGUUGUAAAGCACUUUCAGUUGUGAGGAAAAGUUAGUAGUUAAUACCUGCUAGCCGUGACGUUAACAACAGAAGAAGCACCGGCUAACUCCGUGCCAGCAGCCGCGGUAAUACGGAGGGUGCGAGCGUUAAUCGGAAUUACUGGGCGUAAAGCGCACGCAGGCGGUUUGUUAAGCUAGAUGUGAAAGCCCCGGGCUCAACCUGGGAUGGUCAUUUAGAACUGGCAGACUAGAGUCUUGGAGAGGGGAGUGGAAUUCCAGGUGUAGCGGUGAAAUGCGUAGAUAUCUGGAGGAACAUCAGUGGCGAAGGCGACUCCCUGGCCAAAGACUGACGCUCAUGUGCGAAAGUGUGGGUAGCGAACAGGAUUAGAUACCCUGGUAGUCCACACCGUAAACGCUGUCUACUAGCUGUUUGUGGCUUUAAGCCGUGAGUAGCGAAGCUAACGCGAUAAGUAGACCGCCU
rnacentral:rRNA from 1 species